AAGUUCUAAGAGGAUUGCAGAAGCAGCCUCAGGGCAUUGAGCACAGACUGAAUGACUCAGUGACGCUUGGAUCAGGUCAGAUCAAAUUCUCAAGCAAACAGAUGGCUGGGGAUAUUCAGUAACAACGGUGAGGAGAGAGAGGAACAAUUCACAUUUCAAGUGACCCUUCCUCAAAACGGUCUGUUCUGAAGGAGCUUUCCCGCAGAAAUCACUGGAUUGAAAGCUUCUGGCAACAAAUGGCCACAAACCGAUCAAAGGUGAAAGUGACGGUGAACCAGACAGAGCAGUCAGUGGCUGCAUAAAGCAGGACGGCGUGGAUAUUACACACGGGGACGGAGUCCUCAGGAAAUAAAACUGUUCCAAAUAAACAAUAGGAAUGUGUCUCAGGAUCAGGUCAAGGAUAAUGACCAGGAGAUCUGCCGCUGCCAUGGCCCCCAGGUAUCUGUGUUAGCUGUUUGAAUUCAGAAUUGGCUGGCCAACCGAAGACAGUGAGGGGUAGUGGAAGAAAAAUAUUCUGCCUGGAAGCCAGUGUGCCAUAUAAACUUAUCUUCAAAUCGACCGAGACCAUUUUCUGCUCAGGGUAUGGCUCUGUGUAUGACAGCAGCAAUGAUGCACCGACAUGGAACAGGGAUGUGAUGGAGACAUAAUUUGGACAAUGUACAAGGAGACCUCACAUGGUCCAGUUUGGGAGAGAAUGACAUUAUUGUGUGAUUCAACUCAGAGAGGGAGAAAAUGUCAUUUGCCCGAGAAGAAACGGCCUAUUGCACUCUCUCUCCUUCAUUAUUCCUCAUCACAGUAACGUGUACGAACUAAAUCAAAACUCUCCUGUCAUCAUUACCAUUCUUAUUUUUAUAGAAUCCAUGCAGUGUGGAAACAAGCCCUUCGGCCCAACACGUCCAUACUAACCCUCCAAAGAGUAACCUUCCCAUGCCCUUACAGUAACCACUGACUAGUGCAGCUGAAGUAGAAAUCGCUGAACACUAUGGACUAUUUGACCAAUCCACUUGAAUUAUACAGCUUUGGGCUGUGGGAGGAAACAGGAGCACCCAUCAGAAGCUCACGCAGACACGGGGAGAAGAUCCAAACUCCACGCAGAUAGUCACCCGAGGCUGGAAUUGAACUCAUGUCCCUGAUGCUGUGAGGCAACAGUACGAACUACUGAGCCACUGUGCUAACCUGGAACCUACUGACUGCCUAACGCAAAGGGAAUUCAGCCAAAUCCAACUCUCCCAGGAUAAAAUCCCAUUGCUAGCAGCUGUGUGAGUACAAUAUCUUCAGAAGCAGAAUCACAUUUUGGACAAUCUCUCAAUUUUUCCUUUUGUCAUGAGUUCCAAUAAUAUCUGGACAAAGUUCUUUCAACGUGAAAUUGCAGAGAUUUUGUUAAUUUUGUGUGCGCGUGUGUCAGUGUUUUUAGAAAGGGAAAUAUUGAUUCUUUAUUUGCAAUAUCCAAACAUUUUUCCAUUACUCUUUCCAUCAUAGUUUGAGUAGCAUUGCUCUGGAUCAUAAACGUGCUAUUUGAGCAGAUUAAAGAAACUAGCCAGACUUGUUCCUAAAACUGACCCUGACCCAGUCUGAGACCGAUAUCAUCGGACAUAUCACCGACCUGGUUCCAUUUAACAUUUGUUGAGCAGUGGAAAGGUGGGACUAGAAAAGGAAACAAAGACCGAAAAAACCGGGGAACUAUAGACCGGUGAGCCUGAUGUCAGUGGUGGGUGAGUUGUUGGAGGGGAUUCUGUGGGAUAGCAUUUACAUACGUUUGGGAAGGCAAGGACUGAUCUCAUUAAUGUCUCAUUAAUUUGAUUGAGUUUUAUGAAGAGGUGACAAAGAAGAUUGAUGAAGGCAGUUUGGUAGACCUUGUCAAUAUGGACCUCAGCAAGAUGUUCACAACAUUCCGAUUGGUAGGCAGAUUAAUAAGUUUCAGUCACAUGGGAUACAGAAGAAGCUAGUCACAAUUGGCUUGAAGGAAGAGGGGUAUUUUUCAGACUGGAGGCUUGUGAGCAGCAGUGUGCUGUAAGAAUCAGUACCGAUUUCACUGCAUUUCAUCAUUUAUGUAACGAUUUAGAUGUGGAUAUUGGAGCCAUAGUUAGUAAGUUUACAAACGACAUCAGAAAGGUGGUGUAGUAGAUUAUCUCAGAGUACAACAAGACCACAAAUAGGUGGAACAAAGUGGCAAGGAGUGACAGAUGAAGUUUAAUUUAGAUAAAUACGAGGUUACGCAUUUUGGGAAGGCAAAUCAGGGCAGAAAUUACACACUUAAUGGUAAGGGCCUGGUGAGUGUUGUGUAACAAAUGGACAUAGGGCUGCAGGUACAUUGUUCCUUGAAAGUGGAGUCGAAUGAAGACAGUGCGGUACAGAACACAUUUUACAAAUUUGCCUGAAUCAGUCAGAGCAUUGAGUAUAGGAGUUGUGGUGGUAUGUUGUAUCUGUACAGGACGUUGGGGAGGCCAAUUUAAGAAUACUGCAUACAACUCGGUUUUCUGCAGAAAUGACUUACAUGGAUGUCCCAGGACUGGGGGUUUGAGCUUUAGGGAGAGGCUAAUUAGUUUGAGGUGUUUC